rnacentral:snoRNA from 2 species
UUCUGGAUGAUGAAGAAAAAUCAAUUGGAUUGAUUUUAUAAUAUGAUUCAACAACCAGCUACUUCUGACAAAA